AAAAGCAUGUUGUUUUUUUUAAUUGGUUAUGGUUUUUCAUCCCGUUUUGUAUGAUUUUUACUUAAUGCUUUAAAAUCCUCAAGCUUAUUGCAUUUAUUUCCUUACAAGAAUAGCUUACCUUCUUACAGUGCUAUUUUUUUUUUAAAUUACAAGCUAUUUUGGUUGUUGGCAAACCAGUUGCUUUGGAAGUUUCCCUUUGCCUUACGCUUGCCGAUUUUUCGGUCCCUAGGAGGGGCAUAGGUUUAUGGUGUGGCAAUAAUUGGUUGCUUUUUCAUGAUGUACACAGGCUGUUUAUCCAGAUUAAAUCAAGGGAUUAGUAAUUAACACUGUGAAAAAAUCUGACUGUUAAUUAACAUUGUCAUUAACUAUCAUAUAGAUUUAACUUGAUUGUAUGUGAGAUAUAUAUGUGGAGUCCGUGCAUGCCAUUAUAACUGUAAGUGGCAUCCAUUCAUUAAUUAAAAGGUUUUACACAUGGAAGAAAAUCAGAUACAACAGUUGCAUGGAAUAUGCAUAUAUGUAUAAGCCAUGAAGUCUUAACCAGUAAGCUAUUUCUUCACUCAUUACAUUUCAUUUCUUUUUAAAACUAUGAGACCACUUGAUCUCUUUAUGUUCAGGUCAUAGAAAAAAUACAGUUCUCCUGUAUGUAUUUAUAUUGUACAUAAUUCAUUAAACAAUUCUUUCUCUUACAUGCAUGAAUAUGCAUUUUCAUGUAUAUAGUAUAUAUACACAUUUUACAUGUAUUUUCUCUUAUUCUUUUUUUUUUAAAUCUGAGAUAAGUACAUGAAGGCAGACUCAGAGUUUUACUAGUCACCUAUCAUUUUAUAUCUAUUUAAAACUUGAGUUUUAAUCAACAAUCAUAAAUUUUUUAAAUACAUAUUUCUACAUUUGUCUUGAUUGAAACACAAAUAUAACAAGGUGCUGUAUUGUUGUUAGGAAGUCAUUCAUUAGCAUUGUACAGAAAAAGUAGGUCAUGUGACGUGCCAGCAUUUGUACUGCUGUUACUAUUUAUAACUGUACAUACCAAAACACUUGUUUGAAUGGAGUUUCUUGUUGUUCAGAGGUUUUGAUUGUUGUGGUGUUAUAAAUAAAAAAAACAAGUUGUUUGUUGUUUUUUUCUUCAAGAAAGUCCCAUCUAUGUACUGUAUUGUGACAACAACACGCUGUUGGGAUAAUGUUAAACAGUGACAUGUUUUCUUAUCGUAUUCAUGAAUUAUAUAUGAUACAAACAUUUACAAUGUACAUGUUCCAUGAUGUUUUUUUUUGUAAAGGUACAAGUGACAGAAAAAUCAUGUUUAAUAAUAAAUAUUUAUUUCCUAACAAUAUC
rnacentral:sRNA from 1 species